rnacentral:lncRNA from 1 species
CUACGACUGCUUAUAUCAAACUGCACUACCAAAAUACUUUGAUAAUUCAAAAUGGUGACUGUCUCUAAAGGGUUUGUGAAGAUUUUGGUUUCUGUAUGUGUGGUGUUGAUUGUUAUUUGUCAUGCAGCAAGGUAUUACGAGAGAGAAGACGAGAACGAAGGAUAUGAACCAUACGACAAAUGUAAGUUUUUAUAUGCAUAUUUUAAUUAGCUUAAACAUUUAUACAGUUUAAACUCUAGCUGUUUAUAUAUUUUUCUAAAGGGUCAUUGUUGGUAUAGUUUUUAUCUCUUUUAACAACCCAAAUCUGAGAAUAGCAGUGUCAAUUUAAUUCGAGGAGAAUGUCUUUAAGACUUACAAAUUUAAAGCUGCAAGGAGAUUUUAAAUGAAAUUCAGGAAAGUAUUUUGGCACCAGACAGCUUUCUGCAAUAUUUUACUAAAAACUUUUUUAUCUCUGUUCUGAAGAGUUCUAAAUAUGGUAAAGGGCGAUAACUCAUUUGGGAAAAAAAUAAUGGACAGGCAUAAUUUUUAGAAAUUAAUUUCACACAUUUCUAGAUAGAAUACCCAUAACUUUUUUUUAUCAUUAGUAAAAACAAGACUGAAAUUAAUUGUUUUAGUGUUUUUUUUUAAUAGAUGUGGCCGCAUAAAUUCACAAAACAACAUAAAAUAUUGUAUUUUUUUUUUCAAAAAUAACAACUUUCUCCCCUGUUUCCAUGGUAACCAACAUAUAUAUAUAUAUCGGUUGGUAACAUUUUUCUGACUAGACUAUUAGGGCCUGCAUCUCAGCCAAUUUUCAGGAAGAUCGGUGACUAUGCGUGCCAAAAAAGUUUAAGUGGUUACAGAGAAUGGGUAUUAAUCACAAAUGAUAUCUCCUUUUUUUCAUAUUUGUUGGGUGUAAAAAGUUAAAUCAAUGUUCAACUAUAAUUCGUAUGUUGUUAUAUAAAAAAGCUUGCUAGUUGAAUUAAAACAUAACACUUCUCAGUAUUGUAAUGUUGUUGAAUUAUGUAAGAACGCAGACAACUGAUUUUUAUAAAAAAAAAUAUAUAUAAAGUAUAUAAAAUAAAUACUGAUUAAAAGUUUCCAUGAGAAUAUUUAAGAAUAUUGUUCAAACUGUCAAUAUUGAUUGCAAGUUUUGAUCUCCAAAUUUAUCAAAAGGUGUUAGAUAGUUUUCGUAAAGCAAUACACAACUAUUAAUUAUUAUUUUGGAACAUCAAUAUCGUGAAAACCAAUCUGUCCAAUACCAAUAAUACCAGUAAACCUUAAUCAUGUAGUUAGUAACUUAUAUUUUGUCCACACCCUUUAAAUGGCUAUCUAUCUGGCGGAUGCAGAAGAAUCUUUUUUUCCAAUCAUUAUUACAAAUAUUGUUAUGCCACCGUGUUCAGCAUAUUUUAGAGAGCCUUUCCGAUUGCCACAGCAUUUCAAUGAACUGCGUUAUUAUUACAGCUUUCGUACCAAUAUGUCUGGUAAUAGGGGUGUCCUGUAGAGUAAUACGUAAGAUUCUGAGCCCGGUCGUAUCUAACAAAUGUUACCACGUAAAUGGGCGCGAUGGACAAUAAUAUUAGUAUCUAUUAUAUAAAUUUACUUAAUAAUUGAAUGCUUCUUUUUGUAACUUAAAAAAAAAGGGUUGACCGAAGUACAUUUUGUAUGAAGCGCGGAAGCUCUUCAUUAUAAAAAUGUGCACACGGUCAACGCUUUUACAACCCUAUGAAGUUACAAAAAGAAGAAUUCGGUACUUAUAAUUACAUUUUUUAAGCUAGUAUCAUGAAAACACGAAUUUUAUCAUUUUUUUAAAUUUAAUUUAUAAGUUUUUUUUUAAGUUUUAUUGUGUAAUGCAAUUGCUUAAGGAAUUACAUGUGAUGUGCAUUUAGCCAAUCAGAAUAACGUAUUAUAAUGAAACAUACAUCUCGGUAUCUGACGGUAAUAUAAGAUUAGAUAGUAUCAAAUUAGAAAAUAUUAUCAUUUGCUUAUUAUCAUGAUGCUGGAAACUUUUACAUUAUACAUGAUACUGAUAAAAUAUAAAAGUAUGACAUUUUUAUUCAUUUCCAUUUUCAGAAGCUUUGUUAAGUGGAACUAGAACGAAAGAAGCUUACAGUAGAAUGCGGAUCGAAUGAAAUCUGUAUAUCAUUAGCAAAUCCAUCGAUAAUCUUAUUUCAUAUAUAAAAUAAAUAACAUAAAAGAAAG